AUUGAACGCUGGCGGCAGGCCUAACACAUGCAAGUCGAGCGGUAGAGAGGAGCUUGCUUCUCUUGAGAGCGGCGGACGGGUGAGUAGUGCCUAGGAAUCUGCCUGGUAGUGGGGGAUAACGUUCGGAAACGGACGCUAAUACCGCAUACGUCCUACGAGAGAAAGUGGGGGAUCUUCGGACCUCACGCUAUCAGAUGAGCCUAGGUCGGAUUAGCUAGUUGGUGAGGUAAAGGCUCACCAAGGCGACGAUCCGUAACUGGUCUGAGAGGAUGAUCAGUCACACUGGAACUGAGACACGGUCCAGACCCCUACGGGAGGCAGCAGUGGGGAAUAUUGGACAAUGGGCGCAAGCCUGAUCCAGCCAUGCCGCGUGUGUGAAGAAGGUCUUCGGAUUGUAAAGCACUUUAAGUUGGGAAGAAGGUCAGUAGCUUAAUACGUUGCUGAUUUGACGUUACCGACAGAAUAAGCACCGGCUAACUCUGUGCCAGCAGCCGCGGUAACAC
rnacentral:rRNA from 1 species